rnacentral:rRNA from 1 species
UGGAGGUAUCAGAAGUGCGAAUGCUGACAUAAGUAACGAUAAAGCGGGUGAAAAGCCCGCUCGCCGGAAGACCAAGGGUUCCUGUCCAACGUUAAUCGGGGCAGGGUGAGUCGACCCCUAAGGCGAGGCCGAAAGGCGUAGUCGAUGGGAAACAGGUUAAUAUUCCUGUACUUGGUGUUACUGCGAAGGGGGGACGGAGAAGGCUAUGUUGGCCGGGCGACGGUUGUCCCGGUUUAAGCGUGUAGGCUGGUUUUCCAGGCAAAUCCGGAAAACCAAGGCUGAGGCGUGAUGACGAGGCACUACGGUGCUGAAGCAACAAAUGCCCUGCUUCCAGGAAAAGCCUCUAAGCAUCAGGUAACAUCAAAUCGUACCCCAAACCGACACAGGUGGUCAGGUAGAGAAUACCAAGGCGCUUGAGAGAACUCGGGUGAAGGAACUAGGCAAAAUGGUGCCGUAACUUCGGGAGAAGGCACGCUGAUAUGUAGGUGAAGCGACUUGCUCGUGGAGCUGAAAUCAGUCGAAGAUACCAGCUGGCUGCAACUGUUUAUUAAAAACACAGCACUGUGCAAACACGAAAGUGGACGUAUACGGUGUGACGCCUGCCCGGUGCCGGAAGGUUAAUUGAUGGGGUUAGCGGUAACGCGAAGCUCUUGAUCGAAGCCCCGGUAAACGGCGGCCGUAACUAUAACGGUCCUAAGGUAGCGAAAUUCCUUGUCGGGUAAGUUCCGACCUGCACGAAUGGCGUAAUGAUGGCCAGGCUGUCUCCACCCGAGACUCAGUGAAAUUGAACUCGCUGUGAAGAUGCAGUGUACCCGCGGCAAGACGGAAAGACCCCGUGAACCUUUACUAUAGCUUGACACUGAACAUUGAGCCUUGAUGUGUAGGAUAGGUGGGAGGCUUUGAAGUGUGGACGCCAGUCUGCAUGGAGCCGACCUUGAAAUACCACCCUUUAAUGUUUGAUGUUCUAACGUGGGCCCCUUACCGGGGUUGCGGACAGUGUCUGGUGGGUAGUUUGACUGGGGCGGUCUCCUCCUAAAGAGUAACGGAGGAGCACGAAGGUUGGCUAAUCCUGGUCGGACAUCAGGAGGUUAGUGCAAUGGCAUAAGCCAGCUUGACUGCGAGCGUGACGGCGCGAGCAGGUGCGAAAGCAGGUCAUAGUGAUCCGGUGGUUCUGAAUGGAAGGGCCAUCGCUCAACGGAUAAAAGGUACUCCGGGGAUAACAGGCUGAUACCGCCCAAGAGUUCAUAUCGACGGCGGUGUUUGGCACCUCGAUGUCGGCUCAUCACAUCCUGGGGCUGAAGUAGGUCCCAAGGGUAUGGCUGUUCGCCAUUUAAAGUGGUACGCGAGCUGGGUUUAGAACGUCGUGAGACAGUUCGGUCCCUAUCUGCCGUGGGCGCUGGAGAACUGAGGGGGGCUGCUCCUAGUACGAGAGGACCGGAGUGGACGCAUCACUGGUGUUCGGGUUGUCAUGCCAAUGGCACUGCCCGGUAGCUAAAUGCGGAAGAGAUAAGUGCUGAAAGCAUCUAAGCACGAAACUUGCCCCGAGAUGAGUUCUCCCUGAGACUUAGAGUCUCCUGAAGGAACGUUGAAGACGACGACGUUGAUAGGCCGGGUGUGUAAGCGCAGCGAUGCGUUGAGCUAACCGGUACUAAUGAACCGUGAGGCUUAACCUUACAACGCCGAAG